UUUGCCUGUUACAGAGUCACCCAGCACGGAACACACUGUAGGAUCUGGGCCUAAACAGUUUUCACUGCGACUGAAUCCAAUCACAAAUUCAAACCUACUGAACUGUAGGUUUUUCAAAUGGUGGAUAAGGCUAAAUCCUGAAAGGUCUCUUCAAGGCAAUGGAGAAUCCUGUAUUUCGUAAUAAACAACAGCAGUGGGAGUGGUGACAGUGAGGAUCAGGGGCUGCCAGGCUGGUAAAUUUCCCAAUUAAAUAAUUACUUCAUGGAAUCAGUGGCCUCCAUUUUGCAGCAUUAGCAGGAGCGAUGAGAAUGAGGAACUGAGUGAGAGCGGUCAAAUUGCACACUGGGAAGGAGCAAAAGACUGUUUGACUAGGUGGGAUGGAGGGACAUGUCACUGGAGGCAGAUGAUAAUACCCCCAGAUACAGCAACCUUUUUAAAGCCAAAAAUUGAACAGUGAGAUGAUUUAAAAUACCCUGUAGGAAACAGCUCAGCCACUGUAUCACCACCACCUGUCAGAUGCUACCAGAUCUGCCAUGUGUGUUCAGCACUUACUGCUUUUAUAUCAGAUUUCCAGCAUUUGCUGUAUUUUGCUCUUAUUUAAAUGGUCAAGAUCCUUAGUCCAUCAUGUAAGGCACUUUGAAAAGCUGACAAGAAAUUCCUCAGAUGCUAUUAGUCAGGUAAGAUGGGUGACAAUGACUGCCCUCGAUAAUAAAACAAUAUAUGCAUCCCGAGAAAAAGCUCGAGUCAAUGGAAAUCAGAAGGAAAUUUGUCUGUUGUUGGAGACAUACCUGACACAAAAGAAAAGAAUGGUAGUUGAUUUCAGCUCUGUGAUAGCCUGCAGGAGUUCCGGAGGAUAGUAUCUGAGGCCCAAGCAUCAUUAGUUGCUCCAUCAAUGACCUUCCCUGCAUCAUCCGCACAGAAAUGGGUAUGUUUGCUGAUGAUUGCAUAAUGUUCAGCAACAUUCAUGACCCCUGAAGAAGUCCACAUAUACAUGCGGCAAGACCUAGACAAUAUCCUGGCUUGAGCUGAUGAGUAGGAAGAAAUAUCUCCAAAAAGAGAGAAUCUAGCCAUCUGCUUUUGACAUUCAAUCUCAUCAUCAUCAUCAUCACCACUCCACACAAUGGAGAUCCCAUUGACCAAAGUUGAACUUGGCGAGACACAUGAAAAUAGUGGCUACCGGAAAGUGGCUACAAAUCCUACAAGGAGGAACUCACCUCCUGACUCACCAAAGCCAAUCCACCAUCUACAAGACCACAAUUUAGGAAUGUUAUUGAAUACUCCCCACUUGCUUGGAUAAGCGAAGCUGCAACAAUGCUCAAGAAUCUUGACUGCAUCCAUGACAACGCAAGCCAUUUGAUUGCCACCACAUUCAGAAUCACCUCUGACAUUCAACAGCAACAGUGCGUAGCAUCUUCAGGAAAUUCAAUCUAGCUUCUUAAACAGAACCUUCCUAAUCCAUGACCAUUUCCAUCCAGAGGAUCCAGCAAGUUCCCCUUUCAGCCGCUCACUGUUCUGAUUUGGAAAUAUAUCACCACUCCUUCAGUGUCUCUGGGUCAAAGUCAGCAGCUUCUCAAAUUUAAUUUGAGAUAGAGUCUACAACAUGGAAACAGACCAUUUGAUCCAAACUGUAAAUGUGGCCAGCAACAUUUCCUAAACUAACCUAAUACCAUUUGCCUGUGUUUAGUCCAUAUACCUCUAAAUCUUUCCUAUUCAUGUACCUGGCCAAAUGUCUUUUCAAUGUUA